AAAUAAAUAAGCCAAAAAGCAUUUUAAUUUCGACUUAAAAAAAAGAUUUAAAAAAAUCAUUUAUUUA
rnacentral:tRNA from 1 species